GAGAGAGUGAAGGUGAGAGUGGCUGCAGCUUGUGGGCUAGAGGGCCAUACAGGGGAAGAGAUUGGACUUUGGUGAGACCCAACCAGGAGGCCAAGGGCCUGACCCCCUUCUGCCUGGCAAGGGGGGAGCAAGUGGCUGCUGGAAAGCCCAGAGAUGACAGCAAGACAGGAAUGCAGUAGACAGACAAAUGUGCCAAGUUGUGAUGGAGGUGGGGCGAUAUGUCCUAUGAUCAGCUCUUCUCCUGAAGAAUACAUCUCUUCUCUAAAGCAUGUUCGGGAGGUAGUCCCAGCAGCCCCACUCCUAUCCUAGAGGACUGCACUUGUGAGUAGUAUUGAAGGCCCAAGGCGUUUUCCCCAACAAGGAGUUUCCAAUAUGGAAGAACUUAAUUGGGUGGGUGGGAAUCCCCACCCCCCAAUUUGUUAAAAUAAUACUAUUUCUAAGGGAUACAAAAAAACAAAACAAAACAAAAAAACCUCUACCUUUGAGUAAAAAUAAUUAGUGGGAUUGUGUAUAUUGUCUUAUUGAAACUAUUUGUACUUAAUGGGAAUAUUUUAUGCUGUUUGCCCCUAGAGCCAGCUAAUCUUUGUUCUGUCUCUAUGUUUACUUAGCUCUCCUUUGAUAUGGUAUCCCUUUGCUCUGCCAGUAGCUAUUCUAGAUGUCGUUUUCAAAUUCAUGCAGCUGAAAAUUGUACUAUUCCACCCAUUGUUUUUUAUUAUUUGUGGACUUUCAGAUUCACUGGUCCAAAUCCCAUUGAAGACAAUAAUAGUAGUGUCCAUGCAUCUCAGGGCAAAUUUUGGACUGCAGUUUGAUCUGCAUCAGUGCAAGCAAUAUAUCU